rnacentral:misc_RNA from 1 species
AGGGAUACCUUUAAUACCAAUUGAUGGGAUCGGGUCUCGCCUGAUGGACCGACUCUAUUAUCAAUUGAUGGGAUCCUAACACAGCGGCCGUAUUGUGCUUUCUGCAAAAUCCGAACCCAAAAUGCGACCAACGUCUCUGCAUUCCAAUUUCUUCUCAUCUCUGAAGCAGGUAGGUUAUAUGUUCAUAUUUUCAUAAUUUAACGUUUCUUCUCUCUCAUGGUCUCAUGUAUGUUGCAGGUUGAGAAAAGAUUGAAGCUUGAAAGCCCAACACAACCCUUCAAUUUACCACAUGUGGGCACUAAUGACACAUCGACAGAAUCUCUAAGUACGCCGAUCUAUCUCCAUAUCGAAGAAGAACCCAACAGCAAUAACUCAACGACUCUCCAAGAAAGCAGUGAGCCUCCACCAGCUUUCCUAUCAUCUUCUAUAAACUCCUCAUCAACUAAUCAAAACCCACAUCAAGAAAUCCCCCAAGAACAGCCCAAAACCAUCGAUGGGAGUAAAACUACUGGUGUUGAUGAUAUUGAACUGUUAAUGCAGCUAUUGGGAUUGUCAGAUUUUGAUAAAGGAAACCAUGAAAAAGAAAGUUUUUGUGACGAUUCUUGUAGAUGCGAGGGUGGGUUUUAUGAGAAGAUUGUUGGAGCUAAGGGGCCCAAGUGUAAAAAGGAAGUGGAGAGAUUGGAGGGGUGGAUUAGGUACUAUUUACAGGAUGGUGGUGGAGAAGAGAAGAGGGAGCCAUUGAGGUUGGCUUUUUUGCUGUUGGGAAAGGCUAAUUUUGAGUCGGAAAAUGAAGAUGGUGCUAGUUUUGGUGGCUUGGACAUCGAGUUCCCUUCAGCAAUUGAGGAGUUUCUGAAGUAUGAUCCACCAAGAGAAUCAAAUUGAGGCAUCACAUUCUUGUGUGGUUUAUUUCUGUAAUUUAUGUUGCCCCAUGGGCCUAGGCAAUUUUAGAUUAUGAGAAAAAUAUGUUGAAUCUGAUUGUGGAAAUUUUCACAUAAAAGAGUCCUGAGAAUUUUCUCUUCCCUGAUUGUUGUUCCCUUCGCUUCCAUAUAUACUUGUAGAUGUAGCAGCAUUGAUGCUGCCUUUGUUAGGCUACAAUUGAUGGAUCAGGAAAAAUGAAUUAUAUGAUCUUCUGAACA